rnacentral:rRNA from 1 species
GACAGAGGUCCCGAGCGUUAGGCGGAAUCACUGGGCUUAAAGCGUGUGUAGGCGGAUCGUUAAGUACCUUGUGAAAUCCCACGGCUUAACCGUGGAACUGCUUGGCAUACUGGCGGUCUUGAGCCACCUAGGGGCAACCGGAACAAAUGGUGGAGCGGUGAAAUGCGUAGAUAUCAUUUGGAACGCCAAUGGUGAAAACAGGUUGCUGGGGGUGUGCUGACGCUGAGACACGAAAGCCAGGGGAGCGAACGGG